AGGGCGGCUCCGCUCCAGGCUUUCCCUGCGGCCCGGGACCCGAGGGUCGGCGCCGCGGCAGCCGGACGCUGGCGGUGCGCUCCCCGCGCCCCCCGGCUCGGGCUCGAGCUCGGGGCGUGUCCGGGGAGCCCCCUUGUGGGGGUGCGGCGGGGAGGGGGCGCGGCGGGCGGCGGGACAACUUCUGAGGUAGCUGCGCGUACCUCGCUCUCCCGCUCCCCUCGCCCCGAAACCGCUUUCCCUUCCGGGGUCGGGAGGCGCCGCCCCGGAGCGUACCUUGCGCGCCCUGGGCGACCCCGGGCCCCGGGUUCCGGGCGCGUUUGAGGCGUCGCCGCCGCGCGACUUUUCUGCCGCCCCCGCCCGCCCACUGCGUCGCGACGCUCCGGCGGCCCCACAGGUAAGCGGGCCGCCCCCGGCUCUGUGCCUGCAGGCCGCCCUAGCGGCCUCGGUAACCGUCGUCUCUCCACGCAGUGAAAGGAGACCCCUUUUACCACACCAACAAGGACAUAGGCGUCAGGGAGUCUUCGAGACCCUCAUAGAGGGGAUGGCACCCAGCAGGCAGCCCACAGACACAAACGAGCAAAGACGGGUUUCUGAGCCCAUUGCAGCCCGGCCGGACGUUGGCCCCUGGGGACCAACCUGGACUGGAGGGAACAGCGCGGGAGGCGGGCCGCCAGGCAUGAAGGAACAGCCUUGCUGUCAAGUGAAGACACUUAACCGGACCAAGUAAAACAAAACCUGAAAUGCAACAUAGCUGCAUCAGAAAGCUGUUCAAUUCCUGAAUUCAUAGAAGACCCUGACUUCCUAUCAAAAGGCCUUUGAAAAACAAGGUAAAGAACAUAAAAUCAUAUCUUACAUAUAAAAACUGAAAUU
rnacentral:lncRNA from 1 species